rnacentral:lncRNA from 1 species
UAUCACAACAAUCUAUCUGGCUUGAUCCCAACCUCAUUUGGUGACUUGAGACUUCUUACACUUGCCCACCUUUAUGAAAAUCAACUCUCUGGUCCUAUUCCUGAGGAGAUAGGAAACUUGAAUUCUCUUGUUGACCUAGAGUUGAGUGAAAACCAACUCAAUGGCUCUAUUCCUGCUUCACUUGGCAAUUUGAGCAACUUGGAAAUUCUGUUCCUCCGAGACAACCGACUCUCAGAUUCCAUUCCUAAUGAAAUCGGAAACUUGAUGAAGUUGAUUGUGUUAGAACUAGACCACAACAAUCUGACAGGAAAUUUGCCGCAAGGCAUUUGCCGUGGUGGAUCACUUGAAUACUUCACAGCAAAUGAUAACCAGCUUACCGGGCCAAUCCCUCAAGGGUUGAAAAAUUGCACUAGCUUGAAGAGAGUCUACCUUGAAAGAAACCGACUCAGAGGAAAUAUAUCUGAAGAUUUAGGCGUUUACCCAAACCUAACAUUCAUUGCAUUAAGUGACAAUGAACUUUAUGGUGAAGUGUCUUCCAAUUGGGGAUUGUGUAGAAGCUUACAGAGCCUAUCUAUUGCAAGGAACAAUCUCAGUGGUACAAUACCAGCUGAGAUUGGAAACUCACGUCAGAUACACAGGCUUGAUCUUUCUUCAAAUCAUUUAGUUGGGGAGAUUCCAAAGAAAAUUUCAAAGUUGACAUCUUUGCUUUAUCUUUAUUUGAAUGGGAAUAAACUUUCUGGUAGUGUACCCUUGGAACUAGGACUUAUGUCCAAGCUUUUGUAUCUAGAUUUGUCUGCAAACCGAUUGAGCAAGCCCAUCCCUGAAACUAUAGGGAAUCUGUCCAUGUCAUUCUACUUGAAUUUGAGCAUCAAUCAGUUUAGCCAAAAUAUUCCAAUUCAAGUAGGCAAGUUAACUCGUCUGGUUCAUCUAGAUUUGAGUCAAAACAUGCUUUCAGGGGAGAUUCCAGUGGAAUUUCAAAGUUUGCAGAGCUUGGAGACACUAAACCUUUCUCACAAUAAUCUCUCUGGUGAAAUACCAGCCUCUUUGGAGAAGCUCCGAGGCUUGUACACUGUUGACAUUUCAUAUAAUGACCUCCAGGGUCCCAUUCCCAACUGCCAAGCAUUUCUAAAUGCUUCAGUACAAGAAUUGGGAGGGAACAAAGGAUUAUGUGGCAAUGCUAGAGGAUUACUGCCUUGCACACCUUUUUGUAAGAAGGGUCACAACAACAACAAAGCCCUUUUAGUAGUUAUGUUCUCUCUUUUAUCGGUUUAUUGUCUCUUGAUUGCAUCAAUUGCUUUGUUGUUUGCCUUCAAGAGGAAGAAAGAUACAGAUGAAGAAAGACAAAGCAAUGAAAGUGAUGAAAUAUUUUUCUCUGUAACUCCCUUUAAUGGAAGAAUAUUGUAUGAAGAGAUCAUUAGAGCCACCAAAGAUUUUGAUGCUCAAUAUUGCAUUGGGAAGGGAGGAUAUGGAAACGUAUACAAAGCAGAGCUGUCAUCAGGAGAUGUUGUAGCUGUGAAGAAAUUCCAUCCGUUGCAUACCGGUGAAAUGGCAGAUCAAAGACAGUUCCUAAAUGAGGUAAGGGCAUUAGUAGAAACAAGACACAGAAAUAUCGUGAAGUUCUACGGUUUUUGUUCCUCUGCAGGUCAUUCCUUCUUAAUUUACAAGUACCUUGAAAGGGGUAGCUUGGCUUCAGUUCUCAGUAAGAAUGAAGAAUCUAAGAAAUUGGACUGGAACAAGAGGGUGAAUAUUGUCAAAGGUGCUGUUAAUGCCCUCUCCUAUUUGCACCACGACUGUUCACCACCCAUUGUUCAUCGAGAUAUAACAAGCAACAACAUUUUGCUUGAUUUGGAGUAUGAAGCUCACCUUUCAGACUUUGGCACUGCUAAGCUUCUCAAUCCAGACUCAUCCAAUUGGAGUAAUAUUGCUGGAACAUACGGAUACAUUGCACCAGGUGAUUUUCAUUGUACUUCCAUAGAUGACAUGGCAUAUAGGAUAAUAUUUGUCAUCAACUAUUUAUCUUUUUCUUUGCAGAGCUUUCCUACACCAUGCAAGUUACUGAAAAAUGUGAUGUGUAUAGUUUUGGUGUGCUGGCAUUGGAAUUGAUAUCCGGGUAAUAUCCAGGUGAAUUUCUCUCAAAUCUAUCGAUUUUAACAGCAGAAAGCAUUCCACUAAACAAUGUGUUGGAUCAAAGGCUUUCACCUCCACCGCCAGAAGUUGUGAACAAACUCGGAUUCAUCCUGAAGCUGGCUGUUUCAUGUUUAAAUAUCAAUCCAAAAUCUAGGCCAACCAUGCACACUGUUUCUCAGCUGGUGUUCGACCACAUCUAGUCACAUCUAGGACUCUUUGAUCUUCAUCUAAGAUACCACCUUAGAAACGUUUGGUAUUUGCUCUAAUGUUGUUUCUUUAGCUUUUGUGUAGUUAUAAUGGGUUAAUGGAUUAGCAUUUUUGUACCCUUAAUUACCUUUUUCCUUGAGAAUUGCUACUAGCUAGUUGGUGGUGCAACAAGAGUUGUUUCCGAUAUUUGUCUGUAACAGUUUAUCAUAAAUUAUAUUCUAGUAUUAUCUUUUCAAAGGUUUCACCCUCUAAUAUUGAUUGGGUCCUUCAAAGAGCUAAGCCUUUCGAAGCUUUCAACACCCACCCUAUUGCUAUUAAUCCAAGUCCUAUUGUCUCAUAUUAGUCCUACAUCAAUUAAAGGAUUCGCUAAUCCAUUUAUUAAUGCUCUCAAAUUUUAAUGUCUUCCCCAUUCUUUUUCUCUAAAGGGCCAUACCUAUAUCAACUAUCACUUGUAUUUAAUGGAGUGAUUUUCUUUUAAUUGAAUCUACUUGACCAGCCUCCAUUAACUCCUACCUUGAAUUAACUUAAAUGUAGAACUCAAAGGAUGGAUGAGGAUGUUCUUUGAAAACCUACCUCGCUUUCUUCAAUUGUAAUACCCAACCCAAAAUAAAAUCUAAUUAUCUUUUUAGGAUUUCUUUUUUUUACUAAAGCCUAUUAUGAAAAAUAAAAUUGCAAUAGGUGGAUUAUAAAGAAAGAUAAGAGAAUAAAACAUAAGAGAAUAAAAUUUGGGGAAAAUGGAGGAUGGAAAUUGAAUUCUAGCCAUAAAUUACCUGUUUUGAUUGUUUAAAGAAAUAUUUAUUAGAUUGCUACAAUUUGAUGGAAUUAUUUGAAAGAAAAUUUCUUAGUGAAUUAACUUUGUAAAAUUAUUAGGUUUUAUUUUAUCAUCUCUUAAGAGAUAUAAGUAUGAUUUUUAUUAGAUUGAAGGGUUAGCAGAUUAAUCAUAGCUUCUAACACAUCGAUACUUAUUUGCACAUUCAAGAAUAUAUAAUCAAAGCAUAAAUAGUUAACAAUAAAAAAAUAAAAUUCAACCAUAUUAAAAUUAUAAGAUAAAAUAUCGAAACUAUCUAAACUUUCUUAAGUUGCAAGCCCAUCAACCUAGUUACAUGCGACACUUACCUUAUGCUUAUUUUGCUUACACGUGAAAUGAAAAUCUAGAUCAAGUAAAAUUAUACUAAACAUCAUAUUUGAUAUUUGGAUUUAAUUUUUUUUAAUUUAGUAGCUAAGUUUUUUAGGUUCAUUUCAGUACAUAUUCUUAAUUUGGUACCUAAGUAUUUUUUUGUCCAAUUUGGUACUUAUAUUUGUCAGAUUAUAUACAAAUUACCCUAGAACACUAAUAGUGUUAGUUUUUUUAUAAGGUGACAAAAAUAUCUAGUGUAUGAACAUGUGAUAGAAGACAUGAAAUUUAAUGACAAUAAUGGUUACAUUUAUUUGAAGUUUCCUUAUGUUCAAAAUUAGUUGAAUGAAAGGAAAAUUGAAGAAAACAAUAGUUUUAAUAAAUUGAUUAUGUUAAAUUAAAAUAAUUUAAACUAAAAGUAAUGAAACAUUCAAAAUACAAAAAUAAAUUUCAUGUUAGUAUAUUGGAGUAUUUGUAAACAAUUGACAAGUUAGGGUACCAAAUUUGGAAAAAAACUUGAAUAGCAAAUUAAAAAAAAAAAUAUCAAAUUUUGAUAACAAAUUAGAUAAAAGAAAUUUAAAUACUAAAUUAAAAAAAUUUAAUAUCAUUACAUGUUGCAUGAUUGAUUACACCUCUUUAUACAUAUACCCUUAUAUUGUUUGAGAUACUGUAUGAAAUUAUUAUUCAAUUGAAUUUUUAAGUUUGAUAUUCAAAAUUUUUAUUUCCCGCAUAGAUUUCCCAUAAUCCCUUCCUAAUCCAUUUUUUAUAAAGAAGGAUAAACAUAUUCAAUAUGUCUAAACUUAUAUUCUCUUAUAUUGAUAAAGUUAAUUAUAACAAAUGUUCACAACAUAUAACCGAUAUAAUAUAUAAUUUUUUAUUUAGCAUUGAUUCUUAAAAAUAUUUUUGAGAUCAUAAGUAACGAUGAAUUAAAAAUUUUAAAGUCAAAAGUACUUGAAUCCAAACACAAAAUUAAAAUUUUUAAUUCUUUUUCUUUUGAAAAAAAAAAGUGAUUUUGAGUCAAAUAACAUUUUUAACCUUCAUUUAUAAUCUGAAGUAUUUUAUGUAAUAUUUAUAUGAGAUAUAUAUAAUCAUUUCCCUUUUAAAAUUUGUUUUAAAUAUAUAACAUUAUAUAUUUGAAUUUGUAAUGAUUAUAAAAUAGGGUUUGUACAUUUAUAUUAAAUUUUACAAACAGUUUAAAAUCUAAAUUGUAUAUAUCAAAAUAGGUUUAAUAAUAGUAUGUUACCUAAAAUUGUCUAAAAUUACUUGGUACUUAAAUUUGUAUUAUAGGACCUAGGUUGGUACCUCCGCAAUAACACCAUUAGCUUAUGUAAACCUGACACCAAUAAUCAAUUCGAUAGUGCUAGAUUACAACCUCUUAAUUAGAAAAAUUUUAAAAUAUAUAAAUUAAUAAGAAAAAGUAUAAAUUUUUUUCACAUAAAAAAUGAACAUGGACAAAUUGUUGUUCAAAUACAUUUAAAUCUGGACAUGUCUGGAUUAAUUCUAUAUGUAUUUUUUAAGUAAUUUCAUAUGUAUUUUUUUUAUUUUUUAUAAAAAUAUCAACUUAUUUAUAUUAUUAUUUUGAAAUUAAAAAUAUAUAAAAUUUAAAAAAAUAUAAAUUAAAAAAAAAGUUUUUACAUCAAAAUGAGCUUAGACAGUGAGUUAUCUAGAUUCAAAUGCCUCUGCACAACCAUUUGUCUGUGCAUUACUAUUUAAAUAAAAAUACAGAGUUGAAAGUGAAAGAGCUUUCUUUACAAGGUGGUAUUGUUAGAGAUGAUCAAGGAAUCGUCAGUCUUACAUUGUUAGUUGUUUGCCAAACUUUCGCUUGAUUUUAGAUACACAAUCAUCUUUCAAUCUUUGGGAUAGUGUUUUUUUUAACCGCAUCACUUCACUUCUUGUAUGUGCUCAUUCUUUUAAUACAUAGUCAUGAUGUGAGUUCUUUCUUUUUAUGCUCGCAAUAUGUUCGCCAUUUGUCCUCUUAGAAAUUUUCAUUUUUAGUUCUGGUAUCGCAGUUCUUGUUUUGGAACACUGAAUUCAUUGAAACACAAUCAAUUUUUGUUUCAAUUAUAGCUAGAACAGUGAGAUAUUCAUUUGUACACAUCUCCCACUUCGAGCCUUGUAUGAUAUUUUAUACUUGUUUAAGUUACACAAGAGUUGGUAUAAACUCUGAAAUGCUAUAGCUUCGGAACUAAAAGAGACAAAAGAGAAAAGCUUAUUGCCUGCGUGAAUGCCCGAAUAGAGAGGGAGAGUCUAUCAUACGUCAAGUAUAAAAAGUACCAACGACCAUUCACAAAGACUUAGAUGCAAGUCAACAAUGGUUUGAGAAAUGGGGGAGAGACUUAUGUUAUUAUGCUUGUAUUCAUUUUUAUACAUCUUCUGUUUCAAGUCUCAAAUGACAAUUUUAACUCUGUAAUAGCAGAAAGGUUGGUCUGAAAUGCGAUUGCUUUGGACCCAAAACAGAAAGGCGCUUUUAGCCUGUAUGAAUCAAAAGGGACAGUGUAUCAUACGUCAAGACUGAAAGGGGCAAAGGCCUCUUGACCUUGAAUGGGGCAUUGGGGCUAACAUAAAUUACUAUAAUACAAAGACUUCAACUUUGGAGUGAAAAAUGGGUGAGACUUUUAAUAGUUAGUUCCUAUAUAUAGGGAGAUAAAAGCUUAUUGCCUGUGUGAAUGUCCAAGUCAAGAGGGAGAGCCUGUCAUAAGUACAAAAUAAAAGUUUCCAAGGAAAUUAAUGGAAUGACGUAAACUAAUAGAAUGCAAAGACUUAGAGGGAUAGACUUAUGUUACUUCACCGAAUCCAUUUUUCCACAUCUCCUGUUUGUAGCCUUAUAGUUUUUCUUUGACGGUUGAAAGACUUAGUAGUUAGUUUGAUCGUACAGGCUACUGCAAUUAACCUAUAUAUAACCAUCAUAUCACGGUUGUUACUUGCAUGCAGAGCAUUUGUUAAUCAUGAAGAGUUUAACCUUGCUUGCUCCUUUACUCUUUUGUGUUACUUUACUAUGUUCUUCUCUUAAUGUUGCUUCUGAUUCUGCAGCAGAAGCAUUGGCAAUCCUCAAAUGGAAAGCCAGCCUUCAAAGUCAAAACCAUUCUGUUUUGCUUUCCUGGAAUACUUCCAACAACCCAAAUACCAAAACAAGUCCUUGUGCUUGGUUUGGAAUCCAUUGCAACCAUGCUGACAGUGUUAUAAAGAUUAACCUCACUGGCUAUGGUGUAAAAGGUACACUCCAUUUAUUUCCAUUCUUGUCUUUGCCUAAUCUUGCAGAGUUGGACCUUAGCACCAAUGAACUUUAUGGCAUAAUCCCACCUAAAAUCAGUCAGCUCUCCAAACUCACCUACCUCGAUUUAUCCUUUAACCAGUUCUCUGGGCAAAUCCCACCUGAAAUUAGCCACCUUGUACAUCUUCAGACCCUCCACCUUGCUGGAAAUCAGUUGAACGGCUCAAUUCCUCGAGAAAUUGGUCAGCUCAAAUUUCUCACUGACCUUGCCUUGUGUAGCAACAAGCUAAAUGGUUGCAUUCCUGCUUCUCUCGGUAAACUAAGUCGACUUGUUUCCUUGCUUCUCUAUAAUAAUUCCCUUUCUGGUCCCAUUCCUCCAGAAUUGGGAAACCUUAGGAAUUUGGUUGAAGUUUACCUGGACACCAACCGUCUAACUGGUCCAAUCCCUUCCACAUUUGGAAACUUGAAAAACCUGAGGGUGCUUCACAUGUUUAACAACAGUCUUUCAGGUCCCAUCCCCUCCGAGUUAGGGAAUAUGGAAUCUCUUUCUGAAAUAAGCCUUUAUCACAACAAUCUAUCUGGCUUGAUCCCAACCUCAUUUGGUGACUUGAGACUUCUUACACUUGCCCACCUCUAUGAAAAUCAACUCUCUGGUCCAAUUCCUGAGGAGAUAGGAAACUUGAAUUCUCUUAUUGACCUAGAGUUGAGUGAAAACCAACUCAAUGGCUCUAUUCCUGCUUCACUUGGCAAUUUGAGCAACUUGGAAAUUCUGUUCCUCCGAGACAACUGGCUUUCAGGUUCCAUUCCUAAUGAAAUUGGAAACUUGAUGAAGUUGACCAUG